rnacentral:rRNA from 1 species
AUGAAUUGGCGAUCAGAACACAUAUGGGUAGAACUUCUAAAAGGUUCUCGAAAAAGGGGUAAUUAUUUCUGGGCCUGUAUUCUUUUUCUAGGUUCACUAGGAUUCUUAUCGGUUGGGAUUUCCAGUUAUCUUGGUAAGAAUAUUAUAUCUAUACUUCCAUCUCAAGAAAUUCUUUUUUUUCCGCAGGGGUUCGUGAUGUCUUUCUACGGAAUCGCAGGCCUAUUCAUUAGCUCCUACUUGUGGUGUACUAUUUUGUGGAAUGUAGGUAGUGGUUAUGACCGAUUCGAUAGAAAAGAGGGAAUAGUGUGCAUUUUUCGUUGGGGAUUCCCUGGAAUAAAACGUCGCAUCUUCCUUCGAUUCCUUAUGCGGGAUAUCCAAUCAAUUAGAAUUCAGGUUAAAGAGGGUCUUUAUCCUCGUCGUAUUCUUUAUAUGGAAAUCCGGGGCCAGGGGAUCAUUCCCUUGACUCGUACUGAUGAUCAAUUUUUUACUCCACGAGAAAUUGAACAAAAAGCUGCCGAAUUGGCCUAUUUCUUGCGCGUACCAAUUGAAGUAUUUUGA